UACGAAGGGGGCUAGCGUUGCUCGGAAUCACUGGGCGUAAAGCGCACGUAGGUGGAUCGCUAAGUCAGGGGUGAAAUCCUGGAGCUCAACUCCAGAACUGCCUUUGAUACUGGCGAUCUCGAGUCCGGGAGAGGUGAGUGGAACUGCGAGUGUAGAGGUGAAAUUCGUAGAUAUUCGCAAGAACACCAGUGGCGAAGGCGGCUCACUGGCCCGGUACUGACGCUGAGGUGCGAAAGCGUGGGGAGCAAACAGG
rnacentral:rRNA from 1 species